rnacentral:rRNA from 1 species
UACAGAGGGUGCGAGCGUUGUCCGGAAUCACUGGGCGUAAAGGGCGCGUAGGUGGCGCGACAAGUCAGUGGUGAAAGUUCGACGCUCAACGUCGAAUCGGCCACUGAUACUGUUGGGCUUGAGCACUGUAGAGGCUAAUGGAAUUCCGGGUGUAGCGGUGGAAUGCGUAGAGAUCCGGAAGAACACCGGUGGCGAAGGCGGUUAGCUGGGCAGUUGCUGGACACUGAGGCGC